GAGUUUGAUUCUGGCUCAGGACAAACGCUGGCGGCAUGCCUAACACAUGCAAGUCGAACGGACGGAGGCGAAAGAAUUCUUCGGAAGGAAAUCGCCCGAGUUAGUGGCGGAUGGGUGAGUAACGCGUGGGGAACCUACCUCUUAGCGGGGAAUAACCGUGAGAAAUCAUGACUAAUACCGCAUACAGUAUUUGGUACGCAUGUACCGAAUAAAAAAGGCGGCCUUUGAGCUGCCACUAAGAGAUGGACCCGCGUCUGAUUAGCUAGUUGGUAAGGUAAGGGCUUACCAAGGCGACGAUCAGUAGCCGGCCUGAGAGGGUGAACGGCCACAUUGGGACUGAGACACGGCCCAAACUCCUACGGGAGGCAGCAGUGGGGAAUCUUCCGCAAUGGGCGAAAGCCUGACGGAGCAAUGCCGCGUGAGUGAAGAAGGCCUUCGGGUUGUAAAACUCUGUCCUUGUCGAGGAGAGCGAAGGAGAGUAACUGCUCCAUCGAGGACGUGACAGNGAGC
rnacentral:rRNA from 1 species